UGGGGAAUUUUGGACAAUGGGGGAAACCCUGAUCCAGCCAUCCCGCGUGUGCGAUGAAGGCCUUCGGGUUGUAAAGCACUUUUGGCAGGAAAGAAACGUCGCGGGUUAAUACCCCGCGAAACUGACGGUACCUGCAGAAUAAGCACCGGCUAACUACGUGCCAGCAGCCGCGGUAAUACGUAGGGUGCAAGCGUUAAUCGGAAUUACUGGGCGUAAAGCGUGCGCAGGCGGUUCGGAAAGAAAGAUGUGAAAUCCCAGAGCUUAACUUUGGAACUGCAUUUUUAACUACCGGGCUAGAGUGUGUCAGAGGGGGGUGGAAUUCCGCGUGUAGCAGUGAAAUGCGUAGAUAUGCGGAGGAACACCGAUGGCGGAGGCGAGCCUCCGUGGGAUAACACUGACGCUCAUGCACGAAAGCGUGGGGAGCAAACAGGAUUAGAUACCCUGGUAGUCCACGCCCUAAAACGAUGUCAACUAGCUGUUGGGGGCCUUCGGGCCUUGGUAGCGCAGCUAACGCGUGAAGUUGACCGCCUGGGGAGUACGGUCGGCAAGAUUAAAAACUCAAAAAGAAAUUGACGGGGGUCAUAGCUG
rnacentral:rRNA from 1 species